rnacentral:rRNA from 1 species
UAAACCCAGUAAUUCUCCUCCUCCCCCUUGGUGGGGUGUCUUCGGCGGGUAUUCUUCCUACCUCGUCGUACAUCUACAUAAAAAGAGUGGUUGUUCGGCAGAGAGUUCCUCCUUGCUCCCGGCGCUCCGGCCCCCGGGGGUGUCGGAGCCCGCCGGAGGAUAACCAAACUCUGAUUUAAGGACGCUCCUUCUGAGUGGUACAAGCAACUACUCAAAACUUUUAACAAGGGAUAUCUUGGUUCUGGCAUGGAUGAAGAACGCAGCGAAAUGCGAUAAGUAAUGUGAAUUGCAGAAUUCAGUGAAUCAUGGAAUCUUUGAACGCACAUUGCGCCCGCCAGCAUUCUGGCGGGCAUGCCUGUUCGAGCGUCAUUUCAACCCUCAAGCUCUGCUUGGUGUUGGGGCCCUACAGCUGAUGUAGGCCCUCAAAGGUAGUGGCGGACCCUCCCGGAGCCUCCUUUGCGUAGUAACUUUACGUCUCGCACUGGGAUCCGGAGGGACUCUUGCCGUAAAACCCCCAAUUCUCCAAAGGUGACCUCGGAUCAGGUAGGAAUACCCGCGAACUAG